rnacentral:rRNA from 1 species
UACGUAGGUGGCAAGCGUUGUCCGGAUUUACUGGGCGUAAAGGGAGCGUAGGCGGAUAUUUAAGUGGGAUGUGAAAUCCCCGGGCUCAACCCGGGUGCUGCAUUCCAAACUGGAUAUCUAGAGUGCAGGAGAGGAAAGGAGAAUUCCUAGUGUAGCGGUGAAAUGCGUAGAGAUUAGGAAGAAUACCAGUGGCGAAGGCGCCUUUCUGGACUGUAACUGACGCUGAGGCUCGAAAGCGUGGGGAGCAAAC